rnacentral:rRNA from 1 species
CCCCAGACUCCUACGGGAGGCAGCAGUGGGGAAUAUUGCACAAUGGGGGAAACCCUGAUGCAGCGACGCCGCGUGAGUGAAGAAGUAUUUCGGUAUGUAAAGCCCUAUCAGCAGGGAAGAAAAAUGACGGUACCUGACUAAGAAGCCCCGGCUAACUACGUGCCAGCAGCCGCGGUAAUACGUAGGGGGCAAGCGUUAUCCGGAUUUACUGGGUGUAAAGGGAGCGUAGACGGCGAUGCAAGCCAGAUGUGAAAGCCCGGGGCUCAACCCCGGGACUGCAUUUGGAACUGUGUGGCUGGAGUGUCGGAGAGGCAAGUGGAAUUCCUAGUGUAGCGGUGAAAUGCGUAGAUAUUAGGAGGAACACCAGUGGCGAAGGCGGCGUGCUGGACGAUGACUGACGUUGAGGCUCGAAAGCGUGGGGAGCAAACAGGAUUAGAUACCCCAGUACCU